CUUUGAUAUCCCAACCUAUUAUUCAUAGUCUACUGAAGAGUUUUUUUAUCAUGAAGAAAUGUUGAAUUAUAUCAAAUUAUUUUCAAUCAAAUGAGAUCAUGUUAACAGGAGUAUGUUAUUCCUGUUAGGAAUUCCAUAUUAGGAAUAUGUUAUUCCUAAUAUGUUAACAGGAAUCAUUCCCAUCAGUAAAUGUUAUUUAAAGCAAAAAAACUCAAAACUCUUCUUUCCUUCCCUUGCCUUUUACAGUAAAAUGCCAUUUCCCAUUCUCUUCUGAACUCACCUCUACCAAAACUGCUCAUUAAGGUCACUAGCUGUCUUUCACUUAAGCCAAAAAGCCUAGGAUCUCCUCUGACAAAUUUUCUCCCCCUCAUCCUCCUCACCCCAUUCUUCAAUCUUUUAGCAAAUCCAGCUGCCUGUACAAUCCAUGCCACCGAAUGCCGUAAGUGAGACGUAAAAGUUACGAUACUGAAGAGACGUAA
rnacentral:lncRNA from 1 species